rnacentral:rRNA from 1 species
AGAUUGAACGCUGGCGGCAUGCUUUACACAUGCAAGUCGAACGGUAACAGGCCGCAAGGUGCUGACGAGUGGCGAACGGGUGAGUAAUGCAUCGGAACGUGCCCAGUCGUGGGGGAUAACGCAGCGAAAGCUGUGCUAAUACCGCAUACGAUCUAUGGAUGAAAGCGGGGGACCGAAAGGCCUCGCGCGAUUGGAGCGGCCGAUGUCAGAUUAGCUAGUUGGUGGGGUAAAGGCCCACCAAGGCGACGAUCUGUAGCUGGUCUGAGAGGACGACCAGCCACACUGGAACUGAGACACGGUCCAGACUCUACGGGAGGCAGCAGUGGGAAUUUUGGACAAUGGGCGCAAGCCUGAUCCAGCAAUGCCGCGUGCAGGAAGAAGGCCUUCGGUAGUAACGUGCUUUUGUACGAACGUAAACGGUACGUGGUUAAUACCGUGGACUAAUGAACGUACCGUAAGAAUAAAGCACCGGACUAACUACGUAGCCAGCAGCCGA